AGCUCUUGUACCUGGCCUCAUACCUCUGGUUGCCUCCGGAGGAUCGAGCCUGCCGGGGGCCCCCUCAGCUCUUGUUUCUCUCUGGAAAUUCUGAACGCAAUAACUAAAUAAGUUAAAACUUUCAACAACCGAUCUCUUGGUUCUGGCAUCGAUGAAGAACGCAGCGAAAUGCGAUAAGUAAUGUGAAUUGCAGAAUUCAGUGAAUCAUCGGAUCUUUGAACGCACAUUGCGCCCAUUAAUAUUCUAGUGGGCAUGCCUGUUCGAGCGUCAUUUCAACCCUUAAGCCCCUGUUGCUUAGCGUUGGGAGCCUACGGCAACGUACCUCCUCGUUUGUAGUGGCGGAGUCUGUUUCCCGCCCCAUACUCAGUAAUUUUCAUCUCGUCGGCGGUUGGGACCGGUUUUUGGCCGUAAAACCCCCAUCUUUUAAAAAGGUUGACCUCGGAUCAUGUAGAAAUACCCUCUGAACUUAAAUUGAUUAACAGGCGGGAAGAAAAGCGUUUGGCGAGCUUCUAACCGUCCUGCUAGGGACAACUUACUUGACAUCUGACCUCAAAUCAGGUAGGACUACCCGCUGAACUUAAGCAUAUCAAUAA
rnacentral:rRNA from 1 species